rnacentral:rRNA from 1 species
ACGGAGGGUGCAAGCGUUAUUCGGAAUUACUGGGCGUAAAGGGCGUGCAGGCGGGGGAGCAAGUCUGAUGUGGAAGCCCGGGGCUUAACCCCGGAACGGCAUUGGAAACUGCUUUUCUUGAGUUUUGGAGAGGCAGGGAGAAUUCCCGGUGUAGAGGUGAAAUGCGUAGAGAUCAGGAGGAACAGCAGUGGCGAAGGCGGCCCUCUGGACAGCAACUGACGCUAAGACGCGAAAGCGUGGGGAGCAAACAG